rnacentral:misc_RNA from 1 species
UUAAGUUCAGCGGGUAUCCCUACCUGAUCCGAGGUCAACCUGUAAAAGAUUGGGGGUUGCUGGCCAGUGCCGCCCGGGACCCUGUAGCGAGAAGAUUUACUACGCUCAGAGCCCGGCCGUACCGCCACUGAUUUUGAGGCCCGCCCAGAGGCGGUGCCCAAGACCCCGCGAGCGGGAUUGGUCAUAAUGACGCUCGAACA